UGCAGCGACGCCGCGUGAGGGAUGACGGCCUUCGGGUUGUAAACCUCUUUUGACAGGGACGAAGCGCAAGUGACGGUACCUGUAGAAGAAGCACCGGCCAACUACGUGCCAGCAGCCGCGGUAAUACGUAGGGUGCGAGCGUUGUCCGGAAUUACUGGGCGUAAAGAGCUUGUAGGCGGUCUGUCACGUCUUCUGUGAAAACUUGGGGCUCAACCUUAAGCUUGCAGGGGAUACGGGCAGACUAGAGUACUUCAGGGGAGACUGGAAUUCCUGGUGUAGCGGUGAAAUGCGCAGAUAUCAGGAGGAACACCGGUGGCGAAGGCGGGUCUCUGGGAAGUAACUGACGCUGAGAAGCGAAAGCGUGGGUAGCGAACAGGAUUAGAUACCCUGGUAGUCCACGCCGUAAACGGUGGGUACUAGGUGUGGGUUUCCUUCCACGGGAUCCGUGCCGUAGCUAACGCAUUAAGUACCCCGCCUGGGGAGUACGGCCGCAAGGCUAAAACUCAAAGGAAUUGACGGGGGCCCGCACAAGCGGCGGAGCAUGUGGAUUAAUUCGAUGCAACGCGAAGAACCUUACCUGGGUUUGACAUACACCGGAAAGCCAUAGAGAUAUGGCCCCCCUUGUGG
rnacentral:rRNA from 1 species